rnacentral:ncRNA from 1 species
GGCUCAUCCAGAGGGGCAGAGGGAACGGCCCAGUGAAGCCCCGGCAACCGAGCGGAUGAGUGUGCUCGCCGCCCUUCGGGCGGUUCGUCCUGGCCGCGAUCUCCCCCCUGGGAGGCGGCCCCUGGACCCCGGUGUCGCGCUCCGCGCGAUGGGGACAGGCAGGGCGACCGGACGAGGCGGGUACACCUCCGCGGCAGGUGCCAAUUCCGACCCGUGGUGCCAUGGCGGCCCCGGGAAAGAUGAGGA